rnacentral:lncRNA from 1 species
CAAUGUCUAAAGUGGCGCUCCUCCAUUGACGUAAGUGCGGCCGCCUCGCCGCAACCUCAUGGCGCAGCACGCCUUAGUUUCUAUGUCCCUCCAAAGCAUCUGGAUCCAUUCCCUUCCUGUAGUAUUGUUGUUUGGGAUGGCCCUGUGCACCCGCCUCUCUUUGAUUUAGAUGCAGGCCGGCCGCAUGCUGCUGGCAAUACGGUAGUUCUUACUCCAUUGAACCCAACGAGGUAAUCAUGCAUGUUUCUUCUAUGUCUGAGCAUUCAGACCCUUAAUGUUGCAUUCUAUUUCCUUCUCCUUCCUUUAUUUUUGUUCUCCGGGAUGGCCCAUCUAGUUGCCUCUCUUGAUUCAUGUUCAACCUUCCGACUGCCAGCAAUUCGGCAUUGUUGCUAGAUUUUUGCUGCAUUUGUAUUCUUGUACACAUAUUAACUCUUUGAAUUUUGUGACGAGAUAAUUCGCUGUAGAUUUCUUACGGCUAAUGUAGCUACUUCGUAAUUAUCUCUAUACUACACUGCUACUGUCCGGAUGUACUAGCAAUAACUUGGUUUGUUUGUGUAUGCUUGCAGGUAUACAGUCCAGUCUCCACUUUCUGUUAUAUUUUACCCAAAGCAAUAUGACCUCACACAACAGUGGACUGCUAUUGAAUCAUAAUCUCACAUGUGAAUGAUUGACAAUUUUUUCUCUAAUCUUGAUUGGGGCUAGUAUUUAUAACUGCAAAACUUUGCUCACUUUCAUGUUUGUUGCUUGGACUUCUCACACCUGUAAUUUGUUUUAAUUUAUAAAUUGUUUUAAUUUUCAAACAUAUCAUUCAUCAAUUAUGAAACACUAAAGUAAAGAUUGGCUUCAACAUUAUCUCUGUAUUAUCCUAUGAUCGGGGUGUUCUAGCAAGAAAAAGAUUUAUUCAUUUGUGCUUGCAUGUAUACAAUGCACUCUACACAUUUUUAUAUUAACCCAUAUCAAUAUGACACAAACACUGACCCUGAUAACCUCUCUACACUUGAAUAAGGAUGUCAAAUACAACUGACAAAAGAUUUUCCUGUACUGUAAUCUUGAUCAUUGAAAAAAUUCAGUCACUUUUAGGCAGGUACUUAACUUAAUCUUAUUCAUCUGAGUUAACU